CCUACGGGUGACAGCAGUAGGGAAUAUUGCUCAAUGGGGGAAACCCUGAAGCAGCAACGCCGCGUGGAGGAUGAAGGUUUUCGGAUUGUUAACCCCUUUUGUUAUAGAAGAUAAUGACGGUAUCUAACGAAUAAGCACCGGCUAACUCCGUGCCAGCAGCCGCGGUAAUACGGAGGGUGCAAGCGUUACACGGAAUCACUGGGCGUAAAGGGCGCGUAGGCGGGAUAGCAAGUCAGAUGUGAAAUCCUAUGGCUUAACCAUAGAACUGCAUUUGAAACUGUUAGUCUAGAGUAUGGGAGAGGUAGGUGGAAUUCGUGGUGUAGGGGUAAAAUGCGUAGAGAUCAAGAGGAAUACUCAUUGCGAAGGCGACCUGCUGGAACGUAACUGACGCUGAGGCGCGAAAGCGUGGGGAGCAAACAGGAUUAGAUACCCUAGUAGUC
rnacentral:rRNA from 1 species